rnacentral:tRNA from 2 species
GCCCUUGUAGCUUAAUGGAUAAAGCUGCGGUCUUCGGAACCGCCGAUGGAGGUUCGAUUCCUCCCAGGGGCA